GAAUUUUGGACAAUGGGCGAAAGCCUGAUCUAGAAAUGCAGCGCGCAGGAUGAAGGUCUUCGGGUUGUAAACUGCUUUUGUACGGAACGAAAAUCUUUGGGUUAAUACCCUGUAGUCCUGACGGUAACGUAAGAAUAAGCACCGUCUAACUACGUGCAAGAAGCCGCGGUAAUACGUAGGGUGCAAGCGUUAAUCGUGAUUACUGGGCGUAAAGCGUUCGCAGGCGGUUUUGUAAGACAGAGGUGAAAUCCCCGGGCUCAACCUGGGAACUGCCUUUGUGACUGCAAGGCUAGAGUACGGCAGAGGGGGGUGGAAUUCCGCGUGUAGCAGUGAAAUGCGUAGAUAUGCGGAGGAACACCGAUGGCGAAGGCAACCCCCUGGGCCUGUACUGACGCUCAUGCACGAAAGCGUGGGGAGCAAACA
rnacentral:rRNA from 1 species